rnacentral:rRNA from 1 species
CCUACGGGAGGCAGCAGUCGGGAAUUUUGGGCAAUGGGCGAAAGCCUGACCCAGCAACGCCGCGUGAAGGAUGAAGUCUUUCGGGAUGUAAACUUCGAAGAAUAGGAAACGGUACUAUUUGUAAGGUCCGGCUAACUACGUGCCAGCAGCCGCGGUAAUACGUAGGGACCAAGCGUUGUUCGGAUUUACUGGGCGUAAAGGGGCGUAGGCGGCGUGUUAAGUCACUUGUGAAAUCUCUAAGCUUAACUUAGAACGGUCAAGUGAUACUGAUGUGCUAGAGUGCAGAAGGGGCAACCGGAAUUCUUGGUGUAGCGGUGAAAUGCGUAGAUAUCAAGAGGAACACCUGAGGUGAAGACGGGUUGCUGGGCUGAACUGACGCUGAGGCCGAAAGCUAGGGUAGCAAACGGGAUUAGAUACCCUUGUAGUC